ACUUUUCAUUCCAUAACAAAAUUGUUCAUUUUUGUUUCUAAAGGAAAUAUAGCAUUUUGACAGAUUUGUACUGAUGGUAAAAACUGAUAAGAAUAGAAGAGUGUGGGUUCCAAUCCACAACUUACUACACUACACAGUUCUUAUGACUUUAGGAAUGAUCUGAGAUGUUGGUUUCAGCCACAUCCUCUGAAACAUGGGAGCUGUAAUGAGGGCUUCCUCUCUGACCUUGAUUACCAGGAUACAGAGGUUACCAGAUUGUCUAGACUGUCCUCUACAGCACCCAAAAUAUCACAGUUAAGUAGGAUUUGAUGAUAAAGAUAUGAUCCUUAUUUUUGCUAAUGAAAUAAAAAUAUAAAAUGAUAUAAAGUCCAUAAUAAAGACACAAAUUUUAAGCAAGUAUUUAUACAGGACUAGUCUAUGCCAGCCAUUCUUCCAGUCACCUUAAAUGUUUAAACUAGUUUAAUCAACAUAAGUAUCUACAGGGCAGGUACUUACAUUAUUACAUACAUUUUACAAAUAAGAACACUGAGGCCCAGAAUGAUUAACUAAGUUGCAUAACCAGUAUGAGAUAGAGUCAAAUUUGGACCAAAGAAUUCUGGCUAUAGAGUCUGUAUUCAUAAUCGCUGUACCUUCUGCUUAACUGGAACAUUCCCACAGGUAGUAAAACUAGCAAAAUGGGAAGUUAAUUCAGUAAAGGUAGUGAAGCUCUGACCUAAUACACACUUUUUCUAGACAACUUCUUAAAAUUUCUUCCAGACCAUGAUUUUGUGAUGCUCUACACUGAUGAAAAAAGAUGCUAAAAUGCUAGGAUGGGUGGCCAAUAUGAGCAAAAAUCAUGUCCAUUAAGUCCUUGAGGGCUUUUCCAUCCAGUUCCAGGUGUUCACAGAGCUGUUUAUACUUUUUUUCAAUUACUUUCUCUGUCUGUUCAGAUCCAAAAUGGUUAAAUAUAGAGAUCGAACCUGAAAUAUUAACCAUCUUGGUGUUCAAAUAAAAUAUAUAUUUAGCUUUGUAUAGAGUAGGGAUUGAGGCUCUUCAUCUUCCUCUGGUUUUCAUCUUCCUCUGGAAAUUUGGUAGGAUAUGUGCACAACAGAUCUUUCCUGGCAGCCACUCCCAGAUCCCCUGGAGCUCCGGCUCAAGGCUCUCUGACUGACUCCUUCCCAGAUCUUCUCAGCUUAGCAGCUGAAGACAGACUGCCUGAUCACCUCGGAAGCCUACAGGACCAUCACAGAUGCUCUGGGUAACUCUCACAGUGGAAGGUAAGUGCAUCCCCUUCUUAAUCAAUACGGAGGCAACCCACUCCACAUUAACUUCUUUUCAAAGGCCUGUUUCCCUUGCCUCCAUAACUGUUGUAGGUACUGACAGCCAGGCUUCUAAACCUCUUAAAACUCCCCAACUCUGGUGCCAACUUAGAAAAUACUCUUUUAAGCACUCCUUUUUAGUUAUCCCCACCUGCCCAGUUCCCUUAUUAGGCCGAGACACUUUAAACUUUCUGCUUCCCUGACUAUUCCUGGGCUACACGCUGCCUUUUCCCCCAGCUCAAAGCCUCCUUCACAUCCUCCCCUGUAUCUCCCCACCUUAGUCCACAAGUAUAAGAUACCUCUACUCCCUCCUUGGCAACCGAUCAUGCACCCGUUACCAUCUCUUUAAAACCUAAUCACCCUUACUGCACUUUAUCCCAUCCCACAGCACGCUUUAAAAGGAUUAAAGCCUGUUAUCACUCACCUGCUACAGCAUGACCUUUUAAAAGCUAUAAACUCUCCUUACAAUUCACCCAUUUCACCUGUCCUAAAACCAGACAAGGCUUACAGGUUAGUUCAGGAUCUGCGCCUUAUCAACCAAAUUGUUUUGCCUAUCCACCCCAUGUUGCCAAACCCAUAUACUCUCCUAUCCU
rnacentral:lncRNA from 10 species